rnacentral:misc_RNA from 1 species
UUUCCGUAGGUGAACCAGCGGAGGGAUCAUUACUGGAAUCGCAAGAUCCCACAACCCCUGUGAACCUACCGAAACGUUGCCUCGGCGGGCGCCCGGCCCUGCGCCGGGCGCUGAGCCCGCCGGCGGCCCCCUACUCUUGUCUCUGCAGCGUGGCAUCUCAGAGUCCCAGAAAACAAGUAAAAACUUUCAACAACGGAUCUCUUGGCUCUA